rnacentral:rRNA from 1 species
UACGAAGGGGGCUAGCGUUGCUCGGAAUUACUGGGCGUAAAGCGCACGUAGGCGGCUUUCUAAGUCGGGGGUGAAAUCCUGGAGCUCAACUCCAGAACUGCCUUCGAUACUGGAGAGCUCGAGUCCGGGAGAGGUGAGUGGAACUGCGAGUGUAGAGGUGAAAUUCGUAGAUAUCAGGAGGAACACCAAUAGCGAAGGCAGCUCGCUGGGACGGUACUGACACUAAGGCGCGAAAGCGUGGGGAGCGAACAGG